CUGGCGGCGUGCCUAACACAUGCAAGUCGAGCGGGGACGCGUUUGGAAGUUUCGGAUGGAAGAAGUGUGUUCUAGCGGCGGACGGGUGAGUAACGCGUGAGCAACCUGUCCCUCACAGGGGAAUAACGCAUCGAAAGGUGUGCUAAUACCGCAUGAGACCACGGUACCGACAUGGUACAGGGGUUAAAGGAGCAAUCCGGUGAGGGGUGGGCUCGCGUCUGAUUAGCUAGUUGGUGAGGUAACGGCUCACCAAGGCGACGAUCAGUAGCCGACCUGAGAGGGUGAUCGGCCACAUUGGAACUGAGAAACGGUCCAAACUCCUACGGGAGGCAGCAGUGGGGAAUAUUGGGCAAUGGGCGAAAGCCUGACCCAGCAACGCCGCGUGAAGGAAGAAGGUUUUCGGAUCGUAAACUUCUAUCCUAGGUGAAGAUAAUGACGGUAGCCUAGAAGGAAGCCCCGGCUAACUACGUGCCAGCCGCCGC
rnacentral:rRNA from 1 species